rnacentral:rRNA from 1 species
AUACGGAGGGUGCAAGCGUUAAUCGGAAUUACUGGGCGUAAAGCGUACGUAGGCGGUUCGUUAAGUUAGAUGUGAAAGCCCCGGGCUUAACCUGGGAACUGCAUUUAAAACUGGCGAACUAGAGUUGAGUAGAGGGGAGUGGAAUUUCAGGUGUAGCGGUGAAAUGCGUAGAGAUCUGAAGGAACACCAGUGGCGAAGGCGACUCCCUGGACUCGAACUGACGCUGAGGUACGAAAGCGGGGGUAGCAAACGGGAUUAGAAACCCCAGUAGUCC